rnacentral:misc_RNA from 1 species
AAACCCACUCCUGCGAUGAAGGAUGAAUCUUCCUGAGGGCAGAGCUCUUACCGCCCACUCGCCCCUCUAAGUUCCCACCUCCCAAGGCCGUGUCUCUGGGGAUGAAGUUUCCAACACACAAACAUUGGGGGCACCUUCAAGCCACGGUGUCCUGUAAACCAGCGUUCCAGCAUUUGCCAAAUGGUGUUUCUUUUACCAGGAGAUAAGGACUCUGAUCAGGUCCUUUGGAAAGAGCAAGGGAAGCUGUUCAUGUUCUAUCCUGCGUGUUCUCGAGAAAGUUUUGAUGACAGAAAACAUCACACAGAAAGGGGAAGGCAUCGCAAGUUUCCAGCUCCAUGGAUUUUUGCAAACUGAGCACAUUUGUGGGCCAGGAGUGGGGCCCACAGCGAGAAUAUCCUUCCUGCUGCUCCUGCCAUCCAUCCACCAGCACAGCCAGUUCCCAGCUGUGGAACACACAGAGCUGUGCACUGUUGAGUUGAUCACGAUGAGAACAGUGAGUGUCUCUCACCUGUGGCUGCACUUGCUGGAAGCACCGCCUGCUCUGGCCUCUUUGCUCCAGAACAUUCCCUGCUGAACAGUGACACCAGGGAAGGCCAAGGAUGGGCACACAAGGCUCAGUCCUUCACCUGAUGGCGGCUUGGCCAUGUUCAUCUUUCCCUUUUCUCAAAGACCUGUGUGGGGCCAGAGAAAGCUGGGGUUUCCGGUGGCCUGCAGUGUGGCAGAAAGCAGAGCCUUCCACUGGGAAAAGGGGAAAAAGGGAAUUCUUCCGAAGAGAAGGAUGAAGCCAGCAGCAGGGGUCCCGGCAGGCCUGACCCCCAUGGAGCUGAUGAGGCCGAGUGUCAGGAAGCACUCCCAUUGUCCUCGAAAACAGACACAGGUCAACCUGCGUUACGGGGUCUGCGAGGUCAUCAGAUAACCCCACAGUGUCGAAUACUGUAACUACAUGCCUGCCUAAGAUGACCUGGUAUACUGUAGGUGCACACAAGAUUCUCCAUAGUGAAAGUACAUAUACAAUUGUUGCUAAUUUUUGAUCCUAGAAAAUCCACUGGAUUGAUACUUUAGAAGAGGAUAAUGGAUAAAAUCAAUCGAUCGGAAAAUUCAAAUAUUUAGAAAAUACUAGUUUCAAUCUACUGUAAAAAUAUCAUAAAUUUGUACUGAACUAUUUUUCCUUAUUACAAAAAUAUUCGAGCAAUAAAAAUGUCGGAUAUUA